AGGGCUGUAACCACUAAAGGCUUAUG
rnacentral:piRNA from 1 species